AUUGAACGCUGGCGGCAGGCCUAACACAUGCAAGUCGAGCGGAUGAAGGGAGCUUGCUCCUGGAUUCAGCGGCGGACGGGUGAGUAAUGCCUAGGAAUCUGCUGGUAGUGGGGGAUAACGUCCGGAAACGGGCGCUAAUACCGCAUACGUCCUGAGGGAGAAAGUGGGGGAUCUUCGGACCUCACGCUAUCAGAUGAGCCUAGGUCGGAUUAGCUAGUUGGUGGGGUAAAGGCCUACCAAGGCGACGAUCCGUAACUGGUCUGAGAGGAUGAUCAGUCACACUGGAACUGAGACACGGUCCAGACUCCUACGGGAGGCAGCAGUGGGGAAUAUUGGACAAAGGGCGAAAGCCUGAUCCAGCCAUGCCGCGUGUGUGAAGAAGGUCUUCGGAUUGUAAAGCACUUUAAGUUGGGAGGAAGGGCAGUAAGUUAAUACCUUGCUGUUUUGACGUUACCAACAGAAUAAGCACCGGCUAACUUCGUG
rnacentral:rRNA from 1 species